CCUACGGGCGGCUGCAGUGGGGAAUAUUGGACAAUGGGGGCAACCCUGAUCCAGCCAUGCCGCGUGUGUGAAGAAGGCCCUCGGGUUGUAAAGCACUUUCAGUGAGGAAGAACGCCUGGUGGUUAAUACCCAUCAGGAAGGACAUCACUCACAGAAGAAGCACCGGCUAACUCCGUGCCAGCAGCCGCGGUAAUACGGAGGGUGCGAGCGUUAAUCGGAAUUACUGGGCGUAAAGCGCGCGUAGGUGGCUUGAUAAGCCGGUUGUGAAAGCCCCGGGCUCAACCUGGGAACGGCAUCCGGAACUGUCAAGCUAGAGUGCAGGAGAGGAAGGUAGAAUUCCCGGUGUAGCGGUGAAAUGCGUAGAGAUCGGGAGGAAUACCAGUGGCGAAGGCGGCCUUCUGGACUGACACUGACACUGAGGUGCGAAAGCGUGGGUAGCAAACAGGAUUAGAUACCCUAGUAGUC
rnacentral:rRNA from 1 species